UGGGGAAUCUUCCGCAAUGGGCGAAAGCCUGACGGAGCAACGCCGCGUGAGUGAGGAAGGCUUUCGGGUCGUAAAACUCUGUCUUAAGGGAAGAAAAAAAUGACGGUACCUUAGGAGGAAGCCCCGGCUAACUACGUGCCAGCAGCCGCGGUAAAACGUAGGGGGCGAGCGUUGUCCGGAAUUACUGGGCGUAAAGGGCGUGUAGGUGGUCUGUGAAGUCGGGAGUGAAAACCUGGGGCUCAACCCCGGGCGUGCUACCGAAACCAGCAGACUUGAGGACAGGAGAGGGAAGCGGAAUUCCCAGUGUAGCGGUGAAAUGCGUAGAUAUUGGGAGGAACACCAGUGGCGAAAGCGGCUUUCUGGCCUGUAACUGACACUGAGGCGCGAAAGCGUGGGGAGCAAACAGG
rnacentral:rRNA from 2 species